rnacentral:rRNA from 1 species
GAGUUUGAUCAUGGCUCAGAUUGAACGCUGGAGGCGUGCUUAACACAUGCAAGUCGCGCGAGAAAGGGACUUUGGUCCUGAGUAGAGCGGCGCACGGGUGAGUAACGCGUGGGUGAUCUCCCCUGGUGAUCGGGAUAGCAGCUGGAAACGGCUGCUAAUACCGGAUAAUCUUCAUGUUUAGCUUCAUGGGGUAAAGGUGGCCUCUGCUUGCAAGCUACCACAUCAGGAUGAGCCCGCGUCUCAUUAGCUAGUUGGUGGGUAACGGCCUACCAAGGCGACGAUGAGUAGCUGGUCUGAGAGGAUGACCAGCCACACUGGGACUGGAACACGGCCCAGACUCCUACGGGAGGCAGCAGUGGGGAAUAUUGCGCAAUGGGCGAAAGCCUGACGCAGCGACGCCUCGUGAGGGAUGAAGGUCUUCGGAUCGUAAACCUCUGUCAAGAGGGAAGAAACCAUUGGAGUCGAACAGGCUUCUUGCUGACGGUACCUCUG